AGCGAACGCUGGCGGCAGGCUUAACACAUGCAAGUCGAACGCUGUAGCAAUACAGAGUGGCAGACGGGUGAGUAACACGUGGGAACGUGCCCUUCGAUUCGGAAUAACUCAGGGAAACUUGAGCUAAUACCGGAUACGCCCUUCGGGGGAAAGAUUUAUCGUCGAAGGAUCGGCCCGCGUCUGAUUAGCUAGUUGGUGAGGUAAUGGCUCACCAAGGCGACGAUCAGUAGCUGGUCUGAGAGGAUGAUCAGCCACACUGGGACUGAGACACGGCCCAGACUCCUACGGGAGGCAGCAGUGGGGAAUAUUGGACAAUGGGCGAAAGCCUGAUCCAGCCAUGCCGCGUGAGUGAUGAAGGCCUUAGGGUUGUAAAGCUCUUUUACCCGGGAAGAUAAUGACUGUACCGGGAGAAUAAGCCCCGGCUAACUUCGUGCCAGCCGCCGCGGUAAAAC
rnacentral:rRNA from 1 species